GAAGGUAGUGUAACUUACGGUGUAUGAAAUAGUUGAUCCAAGUAGUCUUGCCUUUGUAAGAAGACGAGUGCUUGGAUCAUCAAUAAUAUACAUCUACGGCUACUAAGUGACGGU
rnacentral:precursor_RNA from 11 species